AAUCAACGCUGGCGGCGCGCUUAACACAUGCAAGUCGAGCGAGAAAGGGGAGCAAUCCCUGAGUAAAGCGGCGCACGGGUGAGUAACACGUGGGGAAUCUACCUCUGGGUGGGGAAUAACUCUGGGAAACCGGAGCUAAUACCGCAUAAGCCUGGGAAGGGAAAGUCGAAAGACGCCGGGAGAGGACCCCGCGGCCGAUUAGCUAGUUGGUGAGGUAACGGCUCACCAAGGCAAAGAUCGGUAGCCGGCCUGAGAGGGCGACACGGCCACACUGGCACUGAAACACGGGCCGAGACUCCUACGGGAGGCAGCAGUGGGGAAGUCUUGCACAAUGGGGGCGAACCCUGAUGCAGCGACGCCGCGUGAGCGAUGAAGCCCUUCGGGCGUAAAGCUCUUUUCGGCGAGGAACGAUAAUGACGGUACCUGAAGAAGAAGCUGCGGCUAACUACGUGCCAGCAGCCG
rnacentral:rRNA from 1 species